rnacentral:tRNA from 1 species
GCCGGGAUAGCUCAGCCGGUCAGAGUGCCAGCUUUCUCCAAAGGCAAGACUCAUAAUCUGGAGGUCGUGGGAUCAAAACCCACUCCCGGCA